rnacentral:lncRNA from 10 species
CAAUUGGUAGUUGGCAAGGAUGCUGAACAGAAUUGAACAAUUGUGCACAUAUAAUCUUGACCAGAACUGGUGAAAGGGGUCACUACCGCCACUAGCUUCCUUAUUUGAAAGAUGACAUCUGACAUCUCUGGGCCUCAAUGUCCUUCCUUGCAAAAUAGGCAUAACAGUAGCACUUGUCUUAUUAGAAUAUUGUAAGCAAUAAAUGUUUAAAAUGUGUAAGUCUUUUGUAAAAGUGUAUCAAGUGUAAAUGCUUGAAAAAUACUAGCUAUUAUUAUUUGGGGGAGGAGUACACUUGUAUAAUGGCUGACAUUCAGACAUUAAGUAAUGUGAUAUCUGUAGAAUGUAGACUGUAUUUUGAUUAGUUUGUGCUCAAAUCAAAUGUAAUUUUUAAAUUGUUUUAAAAUUAUACUUUUUAAGUUCUGAGAUACAUGUGCAGAACAUGCAGGUCUGUUACAGAGGAUUUUACUCUAAUAUUUACAUCUUAAAUAGCUUUAACUAUACUGAAAUAGUCUCUUAAUUAUUCCUCUGAAUGUGAACUCAAAAAAAGCAGAG